UGACGGCCCGCACAGCUAAAGGCUUCGCGUUGUAUACCUUCCAGUCAUUCUCUAUCAAUAUCAAAAUUCUACAUUUGUGUCAUAUUGCAUUCAUUAAAAGCCUGUGGAAGGACGUCUCCUAUUUUUGGACAUCCCCCUUGUAAUAUUAUAUUCGCCUUGGAGAUCAUGCACGUUUCGCGGGGUAUUUUUGACGUAAAAUCAACGGUCAGAAAAUUGUCUUCCCGUCUUCGGCCACCUCCGAAAAUUUAUCGUCCGGAAUGGCCGGUGAUGACCGUAGCGCGUCCACUUUUUUACGUACUGCGAUUCUUCGGUUUGGCGCCCUUCACAAUUUCUGACGACCGGAGUUUCGUAUACAGCAAAUACGGGCGAAUCUAUUCCUUACUGUGCGCCUUGGUACAUACUUAUGUAAUAUAUACUAUAGUCUACAAAUUCACCGUUAUCGAAAGAAAAACGGCCGUACUUGACGUCGUGGAAACUGCAAAGGUGAUCAUCAAUUAUUGCAUAGUGAUUUUCAACUUGGUGGUGGCCGUUUGGAAACAAAGGGAAUUCAUCGGAGUCCUAAACACGUUGAAGAACUUUGAUUCGAGAUUACGUGACCUCGGCCAUCCGCUGAAGAAAAGACCAGUGAGAAUUUGGGUUUGGAGUAUGUGUUUUUUAAACGCUCUGCUUUGGAUCGCUGUAAAUUAUACCGGAAUGGUGGCAUUCGGCGAAACCUGGAUAACAAAUGUAGCGUACAUUUUGAAUUAUCUCGCCACUGUCUUAUCCAUAGUGAAGUUUUCCGGUGUUGUGCUUUUGCUGGGACAACGUUUUCAACACUUGAACGAAGUGGCCCUUCGUAGUAAACAGUCUACCCUAAUGGCUAAGCAGAAUUACGUAGCGGUCGACUUCAAAGUGAUACAGCAAUUACAUAACAUUCUGAUGACCACCGGCGAGAGUUUGGAUCAUCAGUACUCCUCCUCACUUAUGGUGUGGUUGAUAAAUUUGUGCCUCCACAGCGUCAGUUUUCUCUACUUUUUAUUCGACUGGUUGAUAUUGACGCGAUUUUGGACGUCGGCUCGAUGGCCCCUCGUGCAUUGCAUCUUAUGGUGGCUACUCACAUACGUCAUGCAGCUUUUGUUGCUCCAUAUUUCCUGCCACUAUACUUCAAACGAGGCUAACAACCUCGGCUCGAUUAUCAUCAACUGGAAGUCGUUGUCCAGCGUUAGAAACUACAGAAUGGAAUCCUCGUUGCAUCUCAUUAAUCGUAGAUUAAACUUUACUGCGGCGGGUUGUUUUUCCAUUAACUUGCCUCUCUUGAGUUCCAUCGCCUCAAUCCUCACAACGUACCUGGUCCUCAUGUUACAAUUCCAAUCGUAGAAAUUAUUAACCUCUUUUCUAGUAUUUUUUCUCUCAUUUUUUGCUCUUCGUUUUUUUUCUACUUUAUCUUCGUCUAUUAGACAGGCCAUCACUUUCAGCAGAUAUUAUUCACCGAGGGUCCUUUUUUUUUACGUAGUACACGAGAACCACCCGGCAACUAUAAGUCCGUUUUUGGAGUAAAAAAAGUCGUCGUCUAAGCUACGCGAAGCCGAGGAAUGUGAAAAAAGCGAGGAACAAAACGAAUUCAGGAUCUUCGUUCUAUAUACGUCGACUGAGGAACUGCGUGGAGUGUUUGUAACAAGGUUUAUCGCUCGAAAUUCGAUUACCCUGAGGUGGUUGAAGGUCCCAAAUUUCCGGACUACUGUACGGCAGAAAACCUGGGAAUAGAUGUUUCCAUUUUUUCGUCCUGAUUGUUAACUCUGUUACCUUCAGCUGUAAAACAGGUUCAGCAACGAACAUCGGAGCUUUGAUUCGAGCUCGCUAAUUAGAUGAGACCUUCGUACCUGCAAUGUGGAAUACGGUGUAUAGAUAAUAAUAAUAAUGGUAAUCACAAUAAUAAUAAUAAUAAUUAACAGUAACACAAUUUAUCCGAUAAGAAUUCUGGUUUCAAGGGUUCGGAGGAUAAUUA
rnacentral:misc_RNA from 1 species